AGGCUUUAUAGUCAAUAAUGAUAUUAGACUGCAAUUCUAAAGGAAUAAAUAAUUUAUUAAAGCUUA
rnacentral:tRNA from 4 species